rnacentral:rRNA from 1 species
CCAAUAGCGUAUAUUAAAGUUGUUGCAGUUAAAAAGCUCGUAGUUGAAUUUCGGGGUUCUACCGUUGGUCGGGCAAUAGUCUGUACUGGCGUGUAGAAUUUCUACCUUCUGGGGAACCAUCAUGUUAUUUAUUUAGCGUGGUGGGAAACCAGGACCUUUACCUUGAAAAAAUUAGAGUGUUCAAAGCAGGCUUACGUCUGAAUACAUUAGCAUGGAAUAAUAAAAUAGGACGGUGGUCCUGUUUUGUUGGUUUCUGAAUCACCGUAAUGAUUAAUAGGGAUAGUUGGGGGCAUUAGUAUUCAAUUGUCAGAGGUGAAAUUCUUGGAUUUAUUGAAGACUAACUUCUGCGAAAGCAUUUGCCAAGGAUGUUUUCAUUAAUCAAGAACGAAAGUUAGGGGAUCGAAGACGAUCAGAUACCGUCGUAGUCUUAACCAUAAACUAUGCCGACUAGGGAUCGGACGAUGUUAAUUUUUCUUGACUCGUUCGGCGCCUUACG